rnacentral:rRNA from 2 species
AACUUUAUACAACUUUCAGCAACGGAUCUCUUGGCUCUCGCAUCGAUGAAGAACGCAGCGAAAUGCGAUAAGUAAUGUGAAUUGCAGAAUUCAGUGAAUCAUCGAAUCUUUGAACGCACCUUGCGCUCCUUGGUAUUCCGAGGAGCAUGCCUGUUUGAGUGUCAUU